CCGCCCAGGGCUGCCGGAUGGUACCUUCCCGUGGAGAAAAAUGAUUUUGUCCCGCGCGGACUCCCGCAGCACUUUUUUCACUCUAAAGCCGGAGAACGGCCCGAGUUGAGGCUGGUGCUGAGGAAGAGAAAAGAAGGCAGCGAGUCUCUAACCAGGCCGCCUAAUGAUGGAGGCGGCACUCCCCGCCGCCCUGGGUGCCAGAUUCGGAAAACACCCUUUGGACUCUGUGGAUGCUUUGACACCUGACACACCGUGGGUUGAAUACUGACGUUUUUAUUAAGAAUUAUACCAACAUUGCUUAGCGUGGAAGGAAUGUUUCUGAAACAGAUCUGUUGAGCCAAUCUUCUUGUUCGAUUUUUUGUAAGAGAGCCAUUAAAUCAUUUCCAUUGUUCA